UUAUUGGAGAGUUUGAUCCUGGCUCAGGACGAACGCUGGCGGCGUGCCUAAUACAUGCAAGUCGAGCGAAUCUGAGGGAGCUUGCUCCUGAAGAUUAGCGGCGGACGGGUGAGUAA
rnacentral:ncRNA from 1 species